CGGGACGGGUGAGUAAUGUCUGGGAAACUGCCCGAUGGAGGGGGGUAACUACUGGAAACGGUAGCUAAUACCGCAUAAUGUCUACGGACCAAAGCGGGGGACCUCCGGGCCUCGCGCCAUCAGAUGAACCCAUAUGGGAUUAGCUAGUAGGUGAGGCAACGGCUUACCUAGGCGACGAUCCCUAGCUGGUCUGAGAGGAUGAUCAGCCACACUGGGACUGAGACACGGCCCAG
rnacentral:rRNA from 1 species